GUCUAUGGUACAUCACCUGAGUUGUGGGGUAAAUGUAGAGAGUGUCAAUCAAAGGCAGAGCUCUCAGAGCUGGGAAGGAGGCUCUAGAUGGCGGCUGUGCCUUAGAGAGAGCGCGCUCUCUCCCUGCCUCUGCCUCACUUUCCGCAACUUUCCCUAACUUUUGGGCAGCCUCAGGGGGCCCCCACAGCCCCCUGCCUCCUACUGACUUUCUGGGGUCGAGUGGAGCCUUUUUUUAGAGAGAAAAGCAGCUUUGGGGAGCUUUCUCGUCGUGCCUUGCUGGAAAGAAGCCGCCGUACUGAGAUCCCAGGUCGUUGUUUUUGCAGCUCAGAAGCCAUGGCGCACCUCCAUUUUUGUGCGCUCUCCUAAUGAGGUUUUUUUCCCCUUCCGGACCCGUUUUAGUGUUGAUUAUUGCUUUAUUUUUUGAUCAGUUAACAUUUGAGGAUUGUUUUAUUUAUUUUUUGUUUUUUUACCGGAGGAUUUUGGCUUUAUUUUGAAUUAAUUUGGAUCUGAUAUUUUUCUGCCACUAGAUAGGACUCUUGCUUUGGAUAGACUACAUGGAUCAGUAAAUACCUGGGCACGGGACUUCAAACACAGAUUCCCCCUCCCCCUUAAUAUUUAAGAAUUAAAAGAUGAUGAGAAAUAAGGACAAAAGCCAAGAGGAGGACAGUUCGCUACCCAGCAAUGCUUCGAGGUAUGAGCUAUCAACUUUCUUCCUUUUUUGCCUUUUUUGGGGGGACCUUUGGCUUACAGUUGUUUACCUUGACAGCCAUGGAUUACUAUCUGUAUGAUUAUAAGUAUUUUUCUUAUUUCAGUUUGUUUUUUAAAGUGUGACCUUGAGAUUGGUAAAAUGCCACACCCUAAUUUUUUGGUAGCAAUUUAUGAAAGUUGAGUUCUGACUUAAGGCCUCUUACAGUAGUCAAGAGGUAAGGUACCUCCAUUCAAAGGGGCCUUUCCUGUAAACUACAGUUUUUCUGUCUGUAAAUUUCAGUUUUCAGGUUUUUGUGGUGCAGAAAAAUGACCUUGUGGGUUUAGCCAUUGCUGCAUUGCACCAUUUUACAUACAAGGCACAUUUUUUUCUUUGAAGAAUCUCGGAUAUCCCAACUUGUAACUGAGGGCCAUAGAGGAGCCCUGUAGUAGUAAAUUAUAGUAAAUAGACAUUUGAGAAAGUUCUAUGAAUGAAAAAAUGUACAUUUAAACAUGAAAUUGUAAAAGGCACCCUUUGACUGAUGCCUCUCAGUUUAUAUUUUUAUUUGACUCUCUUAUUUCUUUUGAUACACCUGAUAUUUUUAGACAGUUUUGAUGAUUUAUCAAAACAUUUACCUGGUUACAAUUCCUGAAUUUAUGAAAUCAAAUCUGUGAUCACAGGAACCUCACAAUGCUGUCAUACUUAUACAGUGUUUGUUACUGUGACUUUAUUUAUAAUUGUAUAGUUUAUAUUUAAAAUAUUUUAAUAUUUGGAUCUGUAUACUUAAUAAGAUAGUGCUUUCUGGUUGGUAGUUGUAUUGUAUCUUUACAUUUUGGUUGUCGCUUACAUUUAUUGAUUUAUCUCGACAGUCUGGAAUGCUUUUAUCUGCUGAAGCUUAACAAAUAUACUGUUUGUUCAAAUCAUGAUCUGUUUCACAUUCCUUGGAGUAGCUUAUUAGUGACUUAAGUAAUAAAGCUUCUAAGAUGUUUUUGUUGCAUGA